AAACCCCCCUCCCAUGUUUUUAGACAAUCUUCUAGCCCUAUCAAUGGUUUGAAGCCAGUUUCCAUAAUCUGGUGCCCUCUAGAUAUUUUGAACAGCCAUUUACAGCUUUCCUGACCAUCGGUUAUGGUAACAGGAAGGGAUCAGGUUGGGAAAGUCUGCCUAAAGAGCCCGGUGCUAUCUGUGCAAGUUUGUGCAGUGCUGGACCUUCUUUUUUGUCCAAACCUGCACAGGAUGGUGCCUUUAAGGAUUUCUGGCACCUGGGUGCCUGCUACCAGAGCUCUCUCUGCAAGUCAAGAGACACACAGGCGUUUGUCGUUUGCAGGCCAAGAGAGCUUCGUUCUCACAGCCACAGUCUAGGUCAACAGUGUGCAGGAAUAUAUUUAGCCCAGAACCACAGAGGGAAAAAAUGUAUUUACCAGUUUUGGAACACUGCACGCUAAGGAAUCAACCGAUUAGAGUAGGGCGAUUCACUGGCCUUUCCACCCCACAAAAUAACUCACUGGCUUGAAGGUGUCAAGGUCGUCUCAGUGUCUUAAUAUUUAUUUGUGUCUGGCGGGGGUUUCAGGCCUUGUUCACUGUCUGACCCUGUUGGGUUAAAAGGACAUGUGGACGAUCCGUGUCUGAUAUGACUACGCUCAGGGUGCAGGGUUUUGAAUCGCAGCUUUCCAAACCAUAAAAGACAAGAGCGGCAGAAUGACAGGCAGGUGUUUCCCUGCAUGUUGCCCAUCCCUGAGUGCCCUGCUACUGAAUGAGCACUCUAAGGUUGCCUGUGUGGGUGACUUGAAUUGGAGAGGAAAGGGAACCACCUUUAUUAGGGCUUUCAACAGCCAUUUGCACUCAGAGCAUCAAUCAAAGCAGUGGUUCCACACACCCGCUAUUCACCAAGAAGAGUCCAGAAAAAUGGCAGCUUUGGAAGACUCCCAAGCAAGUGGAACUCAGUGCCCUGUCUUCCUCCCCAGUUUGGGACCAGCAUUUCUCCAGUUUGUCUCCAACAUGGGGACUUUCUCCAGCCUUAACUUUGGUUCAGGUUUGGAUCCAGGAGCUGGAUCAAGGAAGGAGAAGGAAGGUACAACCGCUGGGAUUGCUUGCCCUAGAAAGAAGGCAAGUAAGGGGAGACACGGCACAGAUGUGCAGAAUUGGGGUGGAGAAAAGGAAAUUGGGGUGGAGAAAGUUGGGAUGGAGAAAAGGAAGUGAAAGACAUUCCUCUCCCUCACUGUGAUACCCAGAUGGGUCAUCCCAUGAUGGGUGGGAGAUUCAGGACAGAUAAAAGCGAAGCCCUCUUCACAUAGCACACAGUUAAACUCAAAUUCUGUUUGUGGGAUCCUGCAGGCAGCUGUGUGAAUGCAGUGCUGGACUAGACGGACCCCGGAUCUCACCCAGCUGGGCUGUUCUUGCAUUCAUCUCAAAUGAUGAGAAUUUUUUUAGCUUGCUUAAAAAUGCGUAUUUUUCUGUGCCCAUAUUGCCUAAUAGACAUAUGUGUGCAUGCAGUUGCCUUUACAGAAUGAACACUAGAACAUUUUGAACAUCAUUUCCCCUAACACCCAUUCUAAAAGGCAUUUUUAAUUGAAGAACUUCACAGAGAUAUUCAGAGAAGUAUGUCCUUCAAAGGAUAUUGGAGUAUUGGUUCAUAAAGUACCACUUAGGCUCCAAAAGUGCAAAGUAAGGAAGUGAAAAAUUAGGUCAUUCUAUUGAAUUGCAUUAAAAUGGGGACGGGAUAAAUUUCUCCCCAUUUUUUCCUCCCUCAGCAAGUCUCCCUUCACAAGGUUGUCACCAGCUACUUUUGGGCCUCUUUCUUCCCCUCCCUGCUUCUCAGGAGCUGGGUUCCCUCCUCCUUCCUUUCAAACAACAGACAGGUCUUUUGCACAAGAAUGCUUUAUUCCAACGUACAGCCAGCAAACUCUAGCCAGCAGAGGACGAGUCUUCAUCAAACCCAAACUAGAAACUACUUCCAUGUUCCCCCUUUUCAGCAAUCCUGGGCUUCACCCUUCUGGCUGUGCCCCUCUGAAAAAGGGCUGGCCAAAAGAAAGGGCCAGCCCUUUAACUGGGCUUUCUCAGUGCCGCUUCAGGGGCUCUUGGACUCGCCACGUUCCUUUCCCAUGUCCCCUCCCUGCUCUUCCGGACCCUGUUUGUCAGAACACCUGGAGAUGGCGGCCUUGAGAUAAUCUCGCCCUCCUCUGUCGCCACAGGAUCUGCAUUCCUUGUUUCCCAGCUGUCACUGUCCUCAUCCGAAGAGUCGCGGUCGCCGAAAGCAACUGUCUGUCAUUUGCAACACUGGCUUGCAGAGUGCCAGGGAACGAGUGACAAGCUGCACCCCCUUCUCCUCACCCCUCAGACCUGGGCAGGAAAACAUCCUGGUUCCAUCGGGAAAGGGGCUUCAGAUAGCGGGCUCCUCAUGGGGCCAUGGGUUCGCAUCCUAAGUCUCGAUUCUGCCCCCGAGCCAGAACUACCCAGAAGCAAAAAAGCUCUCGGAGUAGCUGACACAUAAUUGGCAAAAUACAGCAGUCUUUUUCUACAAUAUUACAAUCCAAAAAGGCAAGGGAAUAAAGAGGAAUGGAGAGGCAAGAGGGAUGUGGAAGAAGCAAACAAGGAGACGAGUAGCGAGAAGGGCUCGGCUGGGCUGACGGGGCCAACCAGGUCACCCAGGUGUAACUCGGGGCGACCCAGUGAGAUGGCCUGUGGAGAAGAUUGCUCAGUUUUCUCUUCCUAGUGGAACUAAGACUGCUCAUCACAGACACCCAGAAUGGAGGAUCCUGCAUGUGGAAGAGCAAAGAUGUUCAAAUGAUCCUUUUCCAGUUGUGCUACUCACAAAUGAGAUUUAAAAAAAAAGCUGCUCUGUUGAUCUGGCAUUAGCGGCAUGGUUUCAGGAUGUAGCGCUUCAUGACAUACAUGAAUACCAUUUAAUCAAAUGUACUUUGUAUCAGGCUGUAACUUGAGAGUCAGGUGUGGCUGGCAGGUAAUGCAGCAAGAGUUACGAUGUGCUACGCAUCCCCAGGGGGGGAAAACACUAUUUUUCUUUGGUGAUUUCUCCCCAACAGAGAAACAACAUAAGAUGCUUGUGUAGAUCAUUAAGAAAAAAAGCCCUGUUAUCACAGGUGCUCACCUUUUUUACUUGCCAACAUAAAUAAAUAAUGUUGGAAAGAGUGUCCCAGAAAUUG